rnacentral:rRNA from 1 species
AUUGAACGCUGGCGGCAUGCUUUACACAUGCAAGUCGAACGGCAGCGCGGGCUUCGGCCUGGCGGCGAGUGGCGAACGGGUGAGUAAUACAUCGGAACGUGCCCAGUAGUGGGGGAUAGCUCGGCGAAAGCCGGAUUAAUACCGCAUACGACCUGAGGGUGAAAGCGGGGGAUCUUCGGACCUCGCGCUAUUUGAGCGGCCGGUGGCAGAUUAGCUAGUUGGUGGGGUAAAGGCCUACCAAGGCGACGAUCUGUAGCUGGUCUGAGAGGCCGACCAGCCACACUGGGACUGAGACACGGCCCAGACUCCUACGGGAGGCAGCAGUGGGGAAUUUUGGACAAUGGGCGAAAGCCUGAUCCAGCAAUGCCGCGUGUGUGAUGAAGGCCUUCGGGUUGUAAAGCACUUUUGGCGGGAACGAAAAGGACUGUGCCAAUACCACGGUUCGAUGACGGUACCCGCAGAAUAAGCACCGGCUAACUACGUG